AGAGUUUGAUUCUGGCUCAGGACGAACGCUGGCGGCGUGCCUAAUACAUGCAAGUCGAGCGAAGUUUUUCUGGUGCUUGCACUAGAAAAACUUAGCGGCGAACGGGUGAGUAACACGUAAAGAACCUGCCUCAUAGACUGGGACAACUAUUGGAAACGAUAGCUAAUACCGGAUAACAGCAUUAACUGCAUGGUUGAUGUUUGAAAGUUGGUUUUGCUAACACUAUGAGAUGGCUUUGCGGUGCAUUAGCUAGUUGGUGGGGUAAAGGCCUACCAAGGCGACGAUGCAUAGCCGACCUGAGAGGGUGAUCGGCCACACUGGGACUGAGACACGGCCCAG
rnacentral:rRNA from 1 species